AGCAGCCGCGGUAAUUCCAGCUCCAAUAGCGUAUAUUAAAGUUGUUGCAGUUAAAAAGCUCGUAGUUGAAUUUCGGGAUUGACACAUCGGUCGUGCCUUAAGGGGUGUGAACUGGUGUAGUCAAUUUCUUACCUUCUGGAGAACCGCGAUGUCCUUAAUUGGGCGCCGCGAGGAACCAGGACCUUUACUUUGAAAAAAUUAGAGUGUUUAAAGCAGGCAUUUUUGCUUGAAUACAUUAGCAUGGAAUAAUAAAAUAGGACGGCAUGAUUCUAUUUUGUUGGUUUCUAGGAUCACCGUAAUGAUUAAUAGGGAUAGUUGGGGGCAUUAGUAUUCAAUUGUCAGAGGUGAAAUUCUUGGAUUUAUUGAAGACUUAACUACUGCGAAAGCAAUUUGCCAAGGAUGUUUUCAUUAAUCAAGAACGAAAGUUAGGGAUCGAAGACGAUCAGAUACCGUCGUAGUCUUAACCAUAAACUAUGACCGACUAGGAAUCAAGACGAUAGUUAAUUUUUAAUGUACUUCGUUGGCUACCGUUACGGGAAACCAAAGGUUC
rnacentral:rRNA from 1 species